UACGUAGGGUGCAAGCGUUGUCCGGAAUUAUUGGGCGUAAAGAGCUCGUAGGCGGUCUGUCGCGUCGGCUGUGAAAUCUCGGGGCUCAACCCCGAGCCUGCAGUCGAUACGGGCAGACUAGAGUGCUGUAGGGGGAGACUGGAAUUCCUGGUGUAGCGGUGAAAUGCGCAGAUAUCAGGAGGAACACCGGUGGCGAAGGCGGGGUCGCUGGGCAACAAACUGACGCUGAGGAGCGAAAGCGUGGGGAGCGAACAGG
rnacentral:rRNA from 1 species